rnacentral:lncRNA from 1 species
AGUAAAAGAAUUUUGGACUAGGCCCAUCACUUAGGCGCUCAGUGCUCAAUUGACUGCUCAGCGGUAGACCUUAUAAUCGUAGGGCGCUCAGCGGUGGAAACUGGCGCUCAGCGCUGGCCCUCAUAAUCAUAGGACGCUCAGCGUCGCCGCUCAAGCAAGAAACAGUGGCUUCCUCCUCGAAGCUGGCGCUCAGUGAUGGAAUUGGCGUUGAGCGAUGGACCUCACUCUUGAGUCUAAGUCCUCCCUUCUUCACUUCCAU